GAGCAUGGAGAGCAAUGGCCCCACAUCCCCGGACACUUAAGAGAGCAACCACCCUCCAACUGCAUGCCAGAGUAACGGAGAGACUUUGACAGCCCAGGUUAUCACAGUGCCUGCUGUUGCCACUCAGCUCUCCUAUAUGU
ensembl:snoRNA LOC120094890 small nucleolar RNA SNORA44